rnacentral:tRNA from 1 species
GGGAAGAUGGCUCAGUGGUAGAGUGCUUGCCUCGCAUGCAUGAGGCCUUGGGUUCGAUUCCUCAGCAUCACA